GUGGGGAAUAUUGGACAAUGGGCGCAAGCCUGAUCCAGCAAUGCCGCGUGGGUGAAGAAGGUCUUCGGAUUGUAAAGCCCUUUCGGCGGGGACGAUGAUGACGGUACCCGCAGAAGAAGCCCCGGCUAACUUCGUGCCAGCAGCCGCGGUAAUACGAAGGGGGCUAGCGUUGCUCGGAAUUACUGGGCGUAAAGGGCGCGUAGGCGGCCUGCUUAGUCAGACGUGAAAUUCCCGGGCUUAACCUGGGGGCUGCGUUUGAGACGGGCGGGCUUGAGGAUGGAAGAGGCUCGUGGAAUUCCCAGUGUAGAGGUGAAAUUCGUAGAUAUUGGGAAGAACACCGGUGGCGAAGGCGGCGAGCUGGUCCAUUACUGACGCUGAGGCGCGACAGCGUGGGGAGCAAACAGGAUUAGAAACCCCAGUAGUCC
rnacentral:rRNA from 1 species